rnacentral:rRNA from 1 species
UACGAGAGGCCCAACGUUAUUCGGAAUUACUGGGCUUAAAGAGUUCGUAGGCGGCGCAGAAGUAGGGUGUGAAAGCCCUCGGCUCAACCGAGGAAUUGCGCUCUAAACUACUGUGCUUGAGGGACCUAGAGGUGAGCGGAACUGAUGGUGGAGCGGUGAAAUGCGUUGAUAUCAUCAGGAACACCGGAGGCGAAGGCGGCUCACUGGGGUCUCUGACGCUGAGGCGGCGAAAAGCGUGGGGAGCAAACAGG